CGCGCGCGGCCGUUGGCUCCGCGGCGUUUCCCGUGGAGGUGCCGCGGGCGGCGGGAGGAGCCGGGCCGGUCGCCUCCCCGGAGGUGAUCCAGGAGCGGGCUCUGGCCCGGGGCGCGCUGCAGUAGCUGAACUGCGGAGUUUCCAGGAAACUUCGGAUCCGCUGCACAGCGCAGUUGCUGAGCGAUGCGCAGGAGGCAGUAUGAACAGAGGAGCAGAUUAAACAACUCAUGAAAAAUGAAGUGAAAAAUGAAACGGAGUGGACUACCACACAAGUCAUAGCAGGCACUGAGAAGUCUGGAGAACUACUGCUUAUACUUCUGCUUCCUAGCUGAUGUGAAGAAACAGCUGCAGUGAGCAAAUGGACUCAUGCACGAAAAACAUCCUUCACAGGACAGAGAAAGAGCAACUGUUGGUAAGACUAAGAAAGAGACUGGAGGUCAAAAGUGGAACAUGAUGUAAAUCUUCGAAGACUACAGACUGUAUAUAUUCUGAAAGAGGAAGGCUGCUUAUGGGCUUUUUCUGCUUCCAUUCUCUUGAUGGAGUAUGUAAACAUGUUGGACAGAAGCUUGGGGCUAUACUCCAUGCUUUAGCCAUCCACCAAGCAGUGCUCUGGGUAAUGGAAACUGGAAAACUGCAGAGACUGAGAAUACAUGAGUGUAUAUUUGUACUUGCCAACAGUUUUAUCUUAUAAAAACAUAGAGGCUCUUUGCCUUGCAAAGACUUAAUCAAGAUGCAAUAAAUAUUAACAAUAAGAA